GUUACUGUUUAUUAUUAUGAAAAAGACGUAAACAGUUUUGAUUUGUCUGCAAAUCGAUAGCCAGAAAUACAAAUCCCCCGAAGUUCGGAACAUUCCAACGAUGAACUCUGCGUGGCUAAGUUUGAUUCUGCUGGGAAAUCUUGUGCGACGCAAAAGUGAAACGGACCAAAAUAUUAACCGUUCAAUUUGAACUCGUUAUAUCGGAUUUAUCAUGAUCUAGUGAUGAGUUUUGACUAUCUGGAAUACUCCACAUAAUUUAAGGCAAGAAUCGCACGAAUGUGCAUAGGACGGAACUGAUUCUCCAAACCGAUCAUCUGCCAACGUCAGUCAGAUAUCGACAGCAUAACAAAUAUUACAAUUUUUCAGAAUGAUAAUACGGUCCGACAUACCAGGGUUGUUAAUAGGAAAAUCGUCGGUCGUAUAGCUAACGGGCCUGCGUAUGCCAUACAUCUAGUAAUGACACGAGUACCCAGAACAG